GAUGAAGAACGCAGCGAAAUGCGAUAAGUAAUGUGAAUUGCAGAAUUCAGUGAAUCAUCGAAUCUUUGAACGCACAUUGCGCCCGCCAGUAUUCUGGCGGGCAUGCCUGUUCGAGCGUCAUUACAACCCUCAGGCCCCCGGGCCUGGCGUUGGGGAUCGGCAGAAGCCCCCUGUGGGCACACGCCGUCCCUCAAAUACAGUGGCGGUCCCGCCGCAGCUUCCAUUGCGUAGUAGCUAACACCUCGCAACUGGAGAGCGGCGCGGCCAUGCCGUAAAACACCCAACUUCUGAAUGUUGACCUCGAAUCAGGUAGUAAUACCCGCUGAACUUAAGCAUAUCAAUAAGCGGAGGA
rnacentral:misc_RNA from 1 species